UACGUAGGGUGCAAGCGUUGUCCGGAAUUAUUGGGCGUAAAGAGCUCGUAGGCGGUUUGUCGCGUCUGCCGUGAAAGUCCGGGGCUUAACUCCGGAUCUGCGGUGGGUACGGGCAGACUUGAGUGAUGUAGGGGAGACUGGAAUUCCUGGUGUAGCGGUGAAAUGCGCAGAUAUCAGGAGGAACACCGAUGGCGAAGGCAGGUCUCUGGGCAUUAACUGGCGCUGAGGAGCGAAAGCAUGGGGAGCGAACAGG
rnacentral:rRNA from 1 species